rnacentral:tRNA from 1 species
AGAGAUUUAAGUUAAAUAAACUAAAAGCCUUCAAAGCUUUAAUUGAUAUAUAAUCAAUCUCUA